AGUAGCAUAUGCUUGUCUUAAAGACUAAGCCAUGCAUGCCUAAGUAUAAACUAAUUUAUACGGUGAAACUGCGAAUGGCUCAUUAAAUCAGUUAUAGUUUAUUUGAUAAUACCUACUACUUGGAUAACCGUAGUAAUUCUAGAGCUAAUACAUGCUAAGAGGGGGGACGCGAGAACCCCUGCAUUUAUUAGAUACAAAACCAGUGCGUGGCGUGGAAACACGCUGCGGAACACAUGGCGAGUCAUAAUAACUGAGCGAAUCGCAUGGCCCCAGCGCCGGCGAUGAUUCAUUCAAAUUUCUGCCCUAUCAACUUUGGAUGGUAGUGUAGUGGACUACCAUGGUGAUAACGGGUGACGGGGAAUUAGGGUUCGAUUCCGGAGAGGGAGCCUGAGAGAUGGCUACCACUUCCAAGGAAGGCAGCAGGCGCGAAAAUUACCCAAUUGCAACGAGUGCAGAGGUAGUGACAAUAAAUAACAAUACGGGACCCGACAAGGGUCUCGUAAUUGGAAUGAGUACAAUUUAAACCCCUUAACGAGGAACAAUUGGAGGGCAAGUCUGGU
rnacentral:rRNA from 1 species